rnacentral:pre_miRNA from 1 species
UAGAAAAGUAUUGGUAUCUGGAUUGUAUAGCUCUAUUAAUCCAGUGAAGUGAAGAACAUUCACCGGCAAUCUGUAUUGGGUAGCAUGAAUAGCUUCGUACAAUCCUAUCGCCUUCAAUUCAA